ensembl:snRNA U6 U6 spliceosomal RNA
UUGCAGCACAUAUGCAGUUCAGCUGCUGGAACCACAUAGAGAAGAUUAGCAUAGCCCCUGCACAAGGAAGGCAUGCAAAUUCUUGAGGAGUUCCGCAUUUGC